AUAAUUUUUUUUCGAAAGAAAAAAUCUAUUCUUACCAGUUUAAUAUCUGAUACGUCCCCUAUCCGGGGACCAUAUAUUAAAUUGAUUUUUGGAACAGGGAGAUGGAAUAGGGGCUUGCUCCGUCCACUCCACGCAUCGACCCGGUAUUGCAGUACUUCUUGGGAACGGAGCACCCCUC
ensembl:snRNA U2 U2 spliceosomal RNA